AGCUCCAAUAGCGUAUAUUAAAGUUGUUGCAGUUAAAAAGCUCGUAGUUGGAUUUCGGGAUGGGCCAGUUGGUCCGCCGCAAGGUGUGUUACUGACUGGUCUGUUCUUCUUCGCAAAGACUGCGUGUGCUCUUCGUUGAGUGUGCGUAGGAUUUACGACGUUUACUUUGAAAAAAUUAGAGUGUUCAAAGCAGGCUAUCGCUUGAAUACAUGAGCAUGGAAUAAUGGAAUAGGACUUUGGUCCUAUUUUGUUGGUUUCUAGGACCGAAGUAAUGAUUAAGAGGGACAAUUGGGGGCAUCCGUAUUUCGUUGUCAGAGGUGAAAUUCUUGGAUUUACGAAAGACGAACAACUGCGAAAGCAUUUGCCAAGAGUGUUUUCAUUAAUCAAGAACGAAAGUACG
rnacentral:rRNA from 1 species